ACUGACAGUUCCUAGGGGGUGCACACCCUGAGAAGUUCCAGGACCCCAGGAACUCCUCUCACCCCUGCUUCUGUCAAUCCAGAGGUUUCUUGACACCUCCACCCUAAAUGGGAAACUACAGAAAAUCGUCUGGAUCUGUUCCCUUCAGAGUCCUAACAGGCCCAGAAACAGACCCAGAGGACUAUUCAUCAGACAAUUCAAGAGGCUGCACCUUUGCCCAAGUAUGAGCCUGCCCACAAGUUCCAGCCUGGAGACCUUGUGUGAGUAAAGAGGAUCUCAGCCCAGAGCCUGGAGCCAACAUAGAAAGGCCCGUGCUCUGUGGUCCUCACCACCCCCAUAGCACUGAAGGUCUGGUCACCUCAUGGAGCUGCCAGACCCAGCUGAAAGAGGCUACCGAAGAUGACAGACCUGGAGGAAGACCCCACUUACCAUUCAUCUUGGCCAUGGCUGCGAAACUCAUGCUGAAGUCCCAGCAGCUCAUCCUCUCUUUAUGAAGGAGCCACACCACUCUGGCAAUAUUUGGCCCUUAUCCCACCAAUCCGCCUCUGGCCUGAUUGACUCAGCCAAGCAAGGCAGCCCUGCACUAGAGCCUGACCUGUCAGCUUCCUGAUUGCUUGGAUUACAUCACCAUAUGCUUCAUACUGUUUCAAGGCUGAUCUGAGAUGAUGUGUGCAGUGCAGCUGUUUUCUUUAGGUUUGACAUGAGCAUCACCAUCUUGAAGCUGGGCAGGUAGCCUCACUGGUGAUGUGAGUAGCAGUCCAGUCAUCCUUGUUCCACAUCUAGCAUCCUCCUAUGAGCCCUGAUCCCAUAGCACUCCAAGUGACCUCAGGGAUCUCAGUCAGCUCCACUGGAUGUGCAGCGUGAAGACUUUCACCUCUUGCUCUUCACAGCCUGUGUGCCAGAGCAGAUCAGAGAGGCCUGCGUUUUCUGAUGCGACUGUAAGUUUUGUUGCGAACAUGGAGCCGAGGCAGCAACGGGUGAGGCUGAGCCGAAUGCGUGAUGACAGCAGACUCUGGUUCAGACGGGUCUCCUCCGAGUUCGCGAACUUUCACUGCUACCGCGGCUGCUUUGACAUCUGGGCCUCAGAGUUUAUCUUUGAGUUUUCUAGCCACCGGGCCCAAUUUCAUAAAGAUUCAAAUGUCUUUUGGGUGUGGAUAAUAAAGUUGUUUUGUGGUGUUCUACUUUAUUGAAAAGCUGGCUCUAGAAUUGGGUUAUGGCUCUCCCCCUUUCAGACCCAGGCAUGAUUUUAAAGUCUCCAUGUCUCGGGUCUG